rnacentral:rRNA from 1 species
CAGUCGAGGGGCAGCAUGGUCUUAGCUUGCUAAGGCUGAUGGCGACCGGCGCACGGGUGAGUAACACGUAUCCAACCUACCGUCUACUCUUGGCCAGCCUUCUGAAAGGAAGAUUAAUCCAGGAUGGCAUCAUGAGUUCACAUGUCCGCAUGAUUAAAGGUAUUUUCCGGUAGACGAUGGGGAUGCGUUCCAUUAGAUAGUAGGCGGGGUAACGGCCCACCUAGUCAACGAUGGAUAGGGGUUCUGAGAGGAAGGUCCCCCACAUUGGAACUGAGACACGGUCCAAACUCCUACGGGAGGCAGCAGUGAGGAAUAUUGGUCAAUGGGCGAUGGCCUGAACCAGCCAAGUAGCGUGAAGGAUGACUGCCCUAUGGGUUGUAAACUUCUUUUAUAAAGGAAUAAAGUCGGGUAUGCAUACCCGUUUGCAUGUACUUUAUGAAUAAGGAUCGGCUAACUCCGUGCCAGCAGCCGCGGUAAUGCGGAGGAUCCGAGCGUUAUCCGGAUUUAUUGGGUUUAAAGGGAGCGUAGAUGGAUGUUUAAGUCAGUUGUGAAAGUUUGCGGCUCAACCGUAAAAUUGCAGUAGAUACUGGAUGUCUUGAGUGCAGUUGAGGCAGGCGGAAUUCGUGGUGUAGCGGUGAAAUGCUUAGAUAUCACGAAGAACUCCGAUUGCGAAGGCAGCCUGCUAAGCUGCAACUGACAUUGAGGCUCGAAAGUGUGGGUAUCAAACAGGAUUAGAUACCCUGGUAGUCCACACGGUAAACGAUGAAUACUCGCUGUUUGCGAUAUACGGCAAGCGGCCAAGCGAAAGCAUUAAG